AGAGUUUGAUCCUGGCUCAGAUUGAACGCUGGCGGCAUGCCUUACACAUGCAAGUCGAACGGCAGCGCGGGGCAACCUGGCGGCGAGUGGCGAACGGGUGAGUAAUAUAUCGGAACGUACCCUGGAGUGGGGGAUAACGUAGCGAAAGUUACGCUAAUACCGCAUACGAUCUAAGGAUGAAAGUGGGGGAUGCGCAAGCACCUCAUGCUCCUGGAGCGGCCGAUAUCUGAUUAGCUAGUUGGUGGGGUAAAGGCCUACCAAGGCAUCGAUCAGUAGCUGGUCUGAGAGGACGACCAGCCACACUGGAACUGAGACACGGUCCAGACUCCUACGGGAGGCAGCAGUGGGGAAUUUUGGACAAUGGGCGAAAGCCUGAUCCAGCAAUGCCGCGUGAGUGAAGAAGGCCUUCGGGUUGUAAAGCUCUUUUGUCAGGGAAGAAACGGUGAGGGCUAAUAUCCUUUGCUAAUGACGGUACCUGAAGAAUAAGCACCGGCUAACUACGUGCCAGCAGCCGCGGUAAUACGUAGGGUGCAAGCGUUAAUCGGAAUUACUGGGCGUAAAGCGUGCGCAGGCGGUUUUGUAAGUCUGUCGUGAAAUCCCCGGGCUCAACCUGGGAAUUGCGAUGGAGACUGCAAGGCUAGAAUCUGGCAGAGGGGGGUAGAAUUCCACGUGUAGCAGUGAAAUGCGUAGAGAUGUGGAGGAACACCGAUGGCGAAGGCAGCCCCCUGGGUCAAGAUUGACGCUCAUGCACGAAAGCGUGGGGAGCAAACAGGAUUAGAUACCCUGGUAGUCC
rnacentral:rRNA from 1 species